GUGGAGUUUACGUUUAUUAAAAGUUAUUUUCUUUAUUGGUAGUAAUACGUUUUGCCAACUGAACUUUCGGUAUGUUGUUUUAUUUUAUUUUUAUUAUGUAGCCUCGUUUUUAUUCCGUCAACAUGCCGCUACCUGGGCUAAGGUCUAUUAGAUUUUUAUUUAUUACUACUACAUUUCACAAAUAAUCAAAAUCUAUUGUUACGACCCGGAAUCUGCCCUACCUAAAUGUCCAAAACACCUUUAAAUAUUUGCCGUGCAUAAUUGUAUAGAAUAUUUUUUUUCUCUUGUCCUUAUUUUCUACAUUCUCUUCAUCCAAGUUAGUGUCUUUUUUAAACAUAGCAUAUUUUAAAUGUAUAGAAAGGUUUGUAAACACAGACAAUGGGGUGGGGGUUGAGGGGAUUCCGUACAUGGUGAAGAGCCGGGAUUGUUUGUGGUGAGUGACAGCGGGGGGCGGGGCUUGUGAUGCGCCGACGGAUCGAGUCAAACAGCUGAGAACGCGCGUGUAACGCCAGAGGGAACGCAGCAGAUGCACUGAAAGAAGAAACGCAGGGACACAGCAGCGCGUUACAACAUCUACCCAUGAACACCAAGCUUCUGCGGCAAACGUGUUCGGUGUGUGCUUUAGAGGCGAUGAUGCUUCGAUGAGGACGCCUGAUAGUUUAUUUCUCUGUCACUGAAGAGGGAACACGCAUUCUGUCACGGUUUUUGUCAGCGUUUUUUAUUGUUGAUGUUUGGCCUCGUUCAUCAACUCCCGACUGAACGAAAGAUUUAGGGAGAAAAAUCAAAUAACCCUUUUUUAAAUAGCGCGAAGUGGAAGAACUGCGCGAGCGUUCGCCGUGAAAAUCAACAGCAGGAGCAGAAAUGUGACAUUUUUCACACGACCGUCGACCAUAUCGCAUGCUUUAAUCGAUAAAGAUUUUUUGACGCCCAUUCCUAAAUCUGCCAUCGGUCUAGAUCCUUGGUUCCCAACCACGUUCCUGGAUCCUCCAGCACUCGACAUUUAGCAUGCCUCCUUUGUCUGAAACCCCCAUUUC
ensembl:lncRNA